rnacentral:rRNA from 1 species
AACGUAGGGGGCAAGCGUUGUCCGGAAUUACUGGGCGUAAAGCGCGCGCAGGUGGGUAGGUAAGACAGACGUGAAAGGCUAGAGCUAAACUGUAGCAUUGCGUAUGAGACUGCCUAUCUUGAGUACAGCAGAGGAAAGUGGAAUUCCCGGUGUAGUGGUGAAAUGCGUAGAUAUCGGGAGGAAUACCAGUGGCGAAGGCGGCUUUCUGGGCUGUUACUGACGCUGAGGCGCGAAGGCGUGGGGAGCGAACCGA